rnacentral:rRNA from 2 species
AACGGGUGAGUAACACGUGAGUAACCUGCCCUUAACUCUGGGAUAAGCCUGGGAAACUGGGUCUAAUACCGGAUAGGAGCGCCUACCGCAUGGUGGGUGUUGGAAAGAUUUAUCGGUUUUGGAUGGACUCGCGGCCUAUCAGCUUGUUGGUGAGGUAAUGGCUCACCAAGGCGACGACGGGUAGCCGGCCUGAGAGGGUGACCGGCCACACUGGGACUGAGACACGGCCCAGACUCCUACGGGAGGCAGCAGUGGGGAAUAUUGCACAAUGGGCGAAAGCCUGAUGCAGCGACGCCGCGUGAGGGAUGACGGCCUUCGGGUUGUAAACCUCUUUCAGUAGGGAAGAAGCGAAAGUGACGGUACCUGCAGAAGAAGCACCGGCUAACUACGUGCCAGCAGCCGCGGUAAUACGUAGGGUGCGAGCGUUAUCCGGAAUUAUUGGGCGUAAAGAGCUCGUAGGCGGUUUGUCGCGUCUGUCGUGAAAGUCCGGGGCUUAACCCCGGAUCUGCGGUGGGUACGGGCAGACUAGAGUGCAGUAGGGGAGACUGGAAUUCCUGGUGUAGCGGUGGAAUGCGCAGAUAUCAGGAGGAACACCGAUGGCGAAGGCAGGUCUCUGGGCUGUAACUGACGCUGAGGAGCGAAAGCAUGGGGAGCGAACAGGAUUAGAUACCCUGGUAGUCCAUGCCGUAAACGUUGGGCACUAGGUGUGGGGACCAUUCCACGGUUUCCGCGCCGCAGCUAACGCAUUAAGUGCCCCGCCUGGG